rnacentral:misc_RNA from 1 species
AAGUCGUAACAAGGUUUCCGUAGGUGAACCUGCGGAAGGAUCAUUAACAUUUUUACUCUUUUUUGGGUUUGGUUUGUGUUGUUUGUUUUUAUUAACAGAUGCACAUUCUACUCUCAUUUCACCCCAAAUGUGCAUUGUGUUGUGCUUUUUGACUCAAAUCAAAAGCACUUCUUUUUCUCAACUUUUCCAACCAUAAAACCCCUUUUUAUUACUUCUAGACUGACUUUAAACCACUUGAUUCGUACACUUCAUACUGUACGAUGACCAAUCAUAAUACAACUCUUAGCAACGGAUAUCUAGGCUCUC